rnacentral:rRNA from 1 species
AUGCGCGAAAGCGUGACGAGGUUAAUCCGAGUGGUUCCCGCUGAGGGAAUCUUUUGUCGGCUGUAAAAAGGCUGGCGAAUAAGGGGAGGGCAAGUCUGGUGUCAGCCGCCGCGGUAAUACCAGCUCCUCGAGUGGUCGGGGCGAUUAUUGGGCCUAAAGCAUCCGUAGCCGGUUCUGUAGGUCCUCUGUUAAAUCCAACGGCUUAACCGUUGGCCCGCAGAGGAUACCGCAGGACUAGGAGGCGGGAGAGGCAGACGGUACUCUACGUGUAGGGGUAAAAUCCUUUGAUCCGUAGAAGACCACCAGUGGCGAAGGCGGUCUGCCAGAACGCGCUCGACGGUGAGGGAUGAAAGCUGGGGGAGCGAACCGGAUUAGAUACCCGUGUAGUCC